AAAGUCGUAACAAGGUUUCCGUAGGUGAACCUGCGGAAGGAUCAUUAUCGAAUAAACUAGGUGGGUUGUUGCUGUCCCUCUCGGGGGAAUCGUGCACGCUUUACCUUCUUUGUUUUUCCACCUGUGCACACACUGUAGGUCUGGAGUGGAAGGGAGGCAACUCCCUAACGUUUCAGGUCCUAUGUAUUUACACAUACACUAUUAAAAGUAACAGAACGAUUCAAUGGGCUCUAAGCCUAUAAACUAUAUAUACAACUUUCAGCAACGGAUCUCUUGGCUCUC
rnacentral:misc_RNA from 1 species